rnacentral:rRNA from 1 species
CCUACGGGCGGCAGCAGUGGGGAAUAUUGGGCAAUGGACGCAAGUCUGACCCAGCAACGCCGCGUGAAGGAAGAAGGCUCUCGGGUUGUAAACCUCCUUUUAGGGGGAAGAGCAGAAGACGGUACCUCCCGAAUAAGCUAUGGCUAACUACGUGCCAGCAGCCGCGGUCAUACGUAGGUGGCAAGCGUUGUCCGGAUUUACUGGGUGUAAAGGGCGUGCAGCCGGGGAGACAAGUCAGAUGUGAAAUCCACGGGCUCAACCCGUGAACUGCAUUUGAUACUGUUUCCCUUGAGUGUCGGAGAGGUAGUCGGAAUUCGUGGUGUAGCGGUGAAAUGCGUAGAUAUAAGGAAGAACACCGGUGGCGAAGGCAGAUUACUGGACGAUAACUGACGGUGAGGCGCGAAAGCGUGGGGAGCAAACAGGAUUAGAUACCCCAGUAGUC